CAACUUUAACAACGGAUCUCUUGGCUCCUCCCUCCAUUAAGAACGCCACCAAAUGGCAAAAAGUAAUGGUAAUUGCAGAAUUCAGUGAAUCAUCGAAUCUUUGAACGCACCUUGCGCUCCCUGGUAUUCCGAGGAGCACGCCUGUUCGAGUGUCAUGAAAAUUUGUCA
rnacentral:rRNA from 1 species